CUUUUCCCUUUUCUGCUGUUUCCACCGUUCGUUUUUUUUUACAAAACAUAGAACCAUAAUAAAUACGGGCUUCUUUAUUGCACAUUUUGGAUUUUUUUCGUCAUACCCCCACAAAUCCUCAUUGAUUGCUGGUGGAGAACCCCAAUCCCAAAUCGGAGCCGCAUCCAAGGAUCGCAGCUGGGCGGGGCUCUGCCCGAUGGAUACGGCAGGCAGGCUCGUGGCCGCCCGGCAACUGUCUGCCGCUCCCCGGAUUGCAGCGGCGCAUCGCGUUUCCUGGCGGCGGCGGGGGCGGCGGGUUCGGCGGAAUGACAGUCGAUCGGCUGCGGCGGUCAGCGGAACGCGACGGUGUUGGCGAGCGAGGACGACGACGAGUCUGCUUCGAUGAUUGACUAGCCCUCUUGCUUCGGGAUCCAUCAGAGUUAGUGAGGAGAGAAAUGGAUCUCUGCAUGGUUGCACCAGCAUAAGCAACAUACUACUGACAAACUCAGCAAUAUUAUACAUAAUUUCCCUCACAUCAGUUCAGUAGGUUUCCUGGAAUACAGAUUAACAAGCAUGUGCUCAAACUUUACCAGAGAGAA